CCCAUUUCUAAAACAGUCUUUGCUCUUACUGUGUUUGUUGUUUAUACCCAUUCCAGCCUUAGUACACUGAAUUAAGGUUAAGCUACCUUAAAGCAGAGAAUGUAAGGACUUUGUCAUCAGUUACGCAAAAGUGUAUAUGAAAGUGAAGUAUUUCCCUUUGAUACAGAACACGGAAGUGGAGCAUCUGAAAAAUAAGAAUUGCUUAAGUAGCAGUCGCAGGAGAUUAAAUGCAGUUAAGCAUAACGAAGCGUGAGGAUGACAAGAAAAAUGAAGCAGAGGUGCCUUAUCUCCCAAUUCAUCGCAGUACAAAUUUUAUAUUCCAGACACAAAUGCCACUUUGGGAUUGAAAUCGUACUACGUGAAUCCGUGUGAUUUGCAGUGGCAACAUGCUAAUGGUGUGAAUUAGUCGUUAGUUCAUGACUCUGAGGAAAAGGACCACAUGAAAAUUUCUAUUAGCAGGACUGAGUCUCUUCAUUCUCAGUGCAGAAGUGCAGUACAACAGAAGAACAAAUACAUUCUGCAGGUGGAGAGAAGAGCCGUGGGUUCAUGGUAAGGACAGCAUCCAUCUGCCCCAGAAGCCCCAGUUGGUAGUAAAGCAGUUCGCAGCACAGACCUUUCUGUGGAGAAGCUCAUGCAGCCGGCCGGCCAGCAAGCAGUUCUCACACUGCAGCAUCAUGCUUAGCUGUGUCAAGCAACAUAUAAAUCAUGAAGACAAAGUGCUGUUGAGCAACAAGGCAGCUUUUCCCAGCCAGGUCAGUAAGAAGAAACCACAGUUAUCAAAUCAGUGUCUUGGCAUUGAAGCUGCACAGCACCUCAGUGGAGCAGGUUAGUGGGAUCGGGUCCCUUCCUCCAGAGGAAGGUUUGUGCUGCUGUUUGGCCUCACCCACCUUCAGGCAGCUGAGUUUCUGUUGACUCGAAAGGAAAGCAAAAAGUCUGAAAUGCUGCUAAAAGGCCUCGUAUUGUCUGACAUCCUGUGACAAGAAAAAAAUAAACAACUUUGACCACAAGCCGUAAUGACUCUCACCUCUGUGUAAGCUUUCAGUGGCAUCAGUACUGCUGCAUCCUGCUUUUGGUUUUGCCUUGCUCGCUUGUGUUAUUCCGUGCAUUGCACAAAGAGCUUCCAGGACAUCUCCUGCAAGCCAGACUCUGGGAGCAGUUACAGCUGCCAGCCCAGCAAUAAAAAUACUGGGCCUAAAAGUCAUCCUGGUUUUGUUGUCUGUCACUGCAGUUUCCACGUGCAGAAGCAGCUACAUGGGAGCUGCUACCUCCAACAGGAGCAGCUGUCGGGAGGAACACCUAUCCAUGUGGCUCUGUGACAGUGUUGCAAGAUACCACAUUUGAUCUCUGGGUAAAAUAGAAAAGGCAGAAUG
rnacentral:lncRNA from 1 species